ensembl:lncRNA
UUUUUUUUUUUUUUUUUUUUUUUUUUUUUUUCCAGUUCCUCGGUGGGUUUCCACACAAUAAAAAAGUCUUAGCUGAAAUGAGAGCAUGUGGCUAGCUGCAGCUCUCUUACUGGUCAGCUGCCUGCGGCUCUUGCUUGUCUGCCUACAGUUGUUAAAGUAGGGCUACAGCUCUGAAUUCAAACCCUCCAGUGAAUAAAGGGAAGGCAUUUGGAUAUGUAGAUCUGGAGCCAAAGAUGGGAAUAGAUGCCAAAUAGACAAGUGAUUACAGGUGGUAGAACCUUUACUUAUUUGAAAAAAAGUCUGCUUUGUCUUUGAGGUGUCUAAAGCAGCAAGUGGCCAUUGGUGUCAGCUCAUUAAGGAAAUCUGCAGCUCCAACAGAAAACCACAAUAAACCCCUGCUUAAUCACCAAACAGCUGCUGACCUCUUCUGUGCACAUUCAGCUCAAGGUGCCUUGUCUUUCCUUCAGUCUGAAGCUCAGGAGCACAUUUCAGUCCUUUCUGAUACCUAAGUUUUUGAAUUUUAUUUAAAGACUAAGAACCCCAUCUCAGAGGGUCUGUUGACACCUACUGUAGCAGGGAUGUGAGAGCAGGGAGAGAUGAAAAACAUUACUAAAAUAGGUUUAAGAGCAACUUAAGCUUGUAAGUUUUCAGGCAGAGGUAGUAAGAUAUUCCUGGAGCAUUCCCUGAGAAAAAUACUUGGAAAAAUCAAUUAGUUAUCAAAAAACAAAGCCUAAUGCUACUGUUUUGAAGUGAACAAAGUUAAAUACAAGAAAAAACCUCUAAUACAGCCAUUCUAGAGCAGUUGUGUGUGACUGCCCAGGGUUGAUUCAUCCACUCAAUGGGACUGCAAGAGAGAAAUCAGAUUCAUAAUUUCUGGUGGUAACUGAGGCACAAAAUUAUCUUCAAGCCUUAGGGGAAAAAAAGAAAAACACCACGUGGAAAUAGACCUAGUCCCACACAGCCUUUCAGAGAAGAGCAAAAAGCACAAGGGGAAGGGAUUUUUCUGAUCAGACACAUAAGAACUGAGGACAAACUGGUAGGAACAGCAUUAAUAGAGUCAGCACUGGAUUUAAAGUUCCAGGUAAGCUGGAAAACAUUCUUUAGGUGGUGCAGAAAAUGACCCAUCAGCUUCCCCUCUGCUCUGACAGCUUAGCAGAUGUGACAGCUGUCACAAACUUUCCUCCCUGCCCCCACCAUUACAAAAGGACUGGAGCAGACAUCCGCCUUGCUGCAGCCGGGAGGAUCUGUUCUGUAAUUUACAGAGGAACAAGGCAGAGCCUGUACCAUGACACACUAUCGGUUUUACUGUUCCUGAGCAGCAGCUGACCAGAACCAGCCAAGACGGGCAGGUUUUGUGCCCGCUGCCGCUCGGGGAGGGGUGUCAGCUUAAGCACGAGUUGACAAACAGCACUUAGCUUAUCUCAAGAAGAAAUCCGAGCACUCCCUCAGCAGAUGACAGAGCUGUAAAUCUUGUUAUGUAUAGCCCUAAAAGUAUCAUUAAGGCAACUUAGAAUAGUUAGUUUGUAUUAGAUAAGGAAAAUGUUGUCUUGCAGCUAUGCAGAGAAAAACAUCUUACAGUUGUGUGUACAUUUUGCAUCCACCUGAAAAGCCUCCAGCUGUUUCAGAAGGGCUAAAGGAGUCUAAUAAAAGCAUCCCUGAGAGCCUUAAACUCUUCAGGUGAGAAGCACUCUGUAAGAAUGUAAGGCCUGAAGCUGAACUUUAUUUACUUAUGGACAUUUUCUCUUCUGUCUAGUUCUGCUUUCAUGGCACAGAAAAGUUCCCAGUCCAGGGUGUGACUGGCAUGAAACUAUGCAACAGUGUGGGGCAUAGGAAAAUAAAGUUGUUUUCUAUUCACUCAGUUGAACUAUCACAUAGAACUAGAGAGUUCUGGGGAGGGGAAGCAAUCUGAAACCAAAUCAGAUUUAUGGCUGAACUGUUUGUUUGCUGUUGUGCAGUGGGGAGCUAUCUUGAGUUUCAUUCUUUGGUAUUUAAUAUUUGCACCACUUUCACUGGUAUAGCCUACCAAUUUUCUGUUUAACUAUGAGCUUAAGGCUUGCCAGGAGAAGAGUAAGGAGACUGAAACUUUGAACAAGGGAGUUCUCUGGGGAUGCAUUUGUCUUGUCCUCUGCUGCUCCAAACAGUGUAUGAGAUAUCAAUUUUGAUUUAGAAAAAGAAAUCAAUACAUGUCACUGAAGAACACAUAAUACAAGUAGGACAGAGAACGGAGGCUCUUGGAAUCAGUGUCUCUCUGAAUGCUGUUACCUGAAAUAUUGUGACAGAGUAGAAACUGAGAAAGAGCACAAUAUUUAACCAGAGUGAUUCUCCUGCCCCAUAUCCGUAUUUCCUCCCUCCAGCUCCCCCAUGUUGAACCUAUGUAGAUUUGAAAGCCCCAAACAAAGCAAGCAGGAUGUUCUGUGACGGUGGGACUUCACACCAGUGCCACAAUCCAGUCUGAAGAAGCUCCC